AAAUCCGUCGAAAUUUGAAAUCGUGAGGGUUCAAGUCCCUCUAUCCCCA
rnacentral:tRNA from 1 species